rnacentral:rRNA from 1 species
GAGUUUGAUCCUGGCUCAGGAUGAACGCUAGCGGCAGGCUUAAUACAUGCAAGUCGAGGGGCAGCGCGGGUAGCAAUACUUGGCGGCGACCGGCAAACGGGUGCGGAACACGUACGCAACCUUCCCAAAACUGGGGAAUAGCCCUCCGAAAGGAGGAUUAAUACCCCGUAACACAAUUAAGAGGCAUCUCUUGAUUGUUAUAGCUCAGGCGGUUUUGGAUGGGCGUGCGGCUGAUUAGGUAGUUGGCGGGGUAACGGCCCACCAAGCCAUCGAUCAGUAACUGGUGUGAGAGCACGACCAGUCACACGGGCACUGAGACACGGGCCCGACUCCUACGGGAGGCAGCAGUAAGGAAUAUUGGUCAAUGGACGCAAGUCUGAACCAGCCAUGCCGCGUGAAGGAUGAAGGCCCUCUGGGUUGUAAACUUCUUUUAUCUGGGACGAAAAAAGGGGAUUCUUCCUCACUUGACGGUACCAGAGGAAUAAGCACCGGCUAACUCCGUGCCAGCAGCCGCGGUAAUACGGAGGGUGCAAGCGUUAUCCGGAUUCACUGGGUUUAAAGGGUGCGUAGGUGGGCAGGUAAGUCAGUGGUGAAAUCUUCGAGCUUAACUCGGAAACUGCCAUUGAUACUAUCUGUCUUGAAUAUCCUGGAGGUGAGCGGAAUAUGUCAUGUAGCGGUGAAAUGCUUAGAUAUGACAUAGAACACCAAUUGCGAAGGCAGCUCACUACGGGAUGAUUGACGCUGAGGCACGAAAGCGUGGGGAUCAAACAGGAUUAGAUACCCUGGUAGUCCACGCCCUAAACGAUGGAUACUCGACAUAUGCGAUACACUGUAUGUGUCUGAGCGAAAGCAUUAAGUAUCCCACCUGGGAAGUAUGACCGCAAGGUGAACUCAAGGAAUUGACGGGGGUC